rnacentral:lncRNA from 1 species
AUGUAAAAGGAAGGUGGAGUGGAAGGUGGGAGAGAGAAGAAGGAGAAAAUGGAAGAGGGAGAGGAUGCAGAGCUACCUUAUUAGGGAAUUGAAAAACAUAGGUUCUCUCCAUGGAACACUGCAGAAGCAUGAUGGCUAAUUCGUUUGACAAGCUGGCAGGUCAAUCAACACCCUUCAGCCUGACUGUACCAGGGCCAAGAUACCUGGCUUAUGACUAGGUCAUUUACAAUAAAGUACCUGCUGUACAGCUGCCAAGCUUGCUAUAUAAGUGUGCAAAAAUUUGGAAUUCAGACCACAAGAAUGCUGUCUGAGUCUUCAGGCACCUGGUCAUCUGGGUCCAGGUUGAUGCUGCAGCAUGUCUUCUAACCCGCCUACCACCAGAGGGCAGCAGCGUACA